UGUUUAAACCCGACUUUUCUGAAGUCAAAAAGUGCAAAGAACCCUGGGACGACUGUAUGCUGAGAGUUUAGACUUCUUACAUGCAACCAAAAAAAAACAGAAAAUAAAAUAAUUCGUAACCCAUUGGACUUUUACAUUGAUAACAACAAUAAACCCAUUGGACUUUUACAUUGAUAACAAUAAAAUUUAACAAUGGCGCAUCCAUUCAGUACACUUGGCUGGCGUGAAAAGGACAAGACAGACGCUAAUACCUGUGAGGCUUGUGGAAAAUACAAUGCACAAGCGGGGGACGAGCAUUGCGUCUUUUGCUUUUUCCAAUUCGUCAGUAUUCUGCUUCAAAGCAGAAGCUCAAAUAAUGCUCGAGUUGAAAAUACCACCGCGAGCGCCAUCUCGCAGUUGCCGAAUUCGUCAACUGAACUCUUUAUCGAGAAUGACACGUCAAUCAAAUCAAACGAGCAAAAAGAAUUUUAAAUCCAUGGUUGGACCGAAUGCACUUUGUAUAUUUCAUUAAUUGAAGAAUAUUCGUGAACAAUUAUUUUACCAAAUUGGCCUAUCGCCGUAUAUGUAAUGUAUAUACACUUAAAGCGUGUCGCAAUAGCUCGGAUCGUUGUAUAUAUAAACAUUUUCAAUGAGUUUAAAAUAAGAAUUCGUUAGAAAUCGCAAGUAAACCUAUUUCAAUUUAAAUAUAAAUCCUUUUUUUUAUAAAACGAUAACAUAUUUUUUUCAUAUUUUGAUAAAAUUUGUUUCAUACGUAUAGAAGUCCAAUCAUAGUUUUUUCUCGUGUAUAUACAAGCAAGACCCAAACACAUGUUUACUUUUUAAAUUCGUUUUACAGUCGUAUUUAUAAUAAGAACAAAACCCGAUUGUAUUUGACACUGUAUAUUGCCGCACCCUUUCAAUAAACAUCAGUUGUACAGUAUUAAAUGUAAUUAUCAAAA